rnacentral:misc_RNA from 1 species
GAUGAAGAACGCAGCGAAAUGCGAUAAGUAAUGUGAAUUGCAGAAUUCAGUGAAUCAUCGAAUCUUUGAACGCACCUUGCGCCCUUUGGCUAUUCUGAAGGGCAUGCCUGUUUGAGUAUCAUGAACACCUCAACUCUCAUGGUUUGCCAUGAUGAGCUUGGACUUUGGGGGUCUUGCUGGCCUACGGUCGGCUCCUCUCAAAUGAAUCAGCUUGCCAGUGUUUGGUGGCAUCACGGGUGUGAUAACUAUCUACGCUUGUGGUUUUUCCACCAGGUAACCUUCAGCAGUGGAGGUUCGCUGGAGCUCAUAGAUGUCUCUCCUCAGUGAGGACAGCCCUUUGAAUGUUUGAUCUCAAAUCAGGUAGGACUACCCGCUGAACUUAAGCAUAUCAAUAAGCGGAGGA